AGUCCAGAAGCUGCUGGACAAUUCAAAGUGGCGCCAAAGGAUAUGGAAUUAAGUUCCAUAAAUGAAGAAGUUUGUGCAGACUUAAUGAUCUCCAAAGUGCUGUGGGCAGCAGAUUGCACCUUCUGCUCCAUUAAAUCCCCAGGGGAAUCUCCCUGGCAGCUGUUUUGGAGACACAGGCACACAUGUUCCAUUACGGGGACCUUCCUGUUUGGGUCACUGGCCAUCGGCUCCUCAAGAGAAGGACGUUAUCAAGAGUGGGGGCUUGCAGCAUCCGAGGAUGACUUUCAAGGACUGUUCCCUGGAUUGUACAAAUCAGGGCCAAACCUACUAUUUUCUCAAGGCUUUGGUUUAAUAUCCCCCCACAGGGGUGGCUCCAGAUGUGUGGGUUUACCCCUCCCUCCAUGAUGGGAAAUGUAACAGAUCACCUGAAUGAAUUAAACAUUA